rnacentral:rRNA from 1 species
AGCUAUAUGGAUUAAUAUAUAGUUAUUUCUGCUCAAUGAUUUUAAAUAGCCGCAGUACUCUGACUGUGCAAAGGUAGCAUAAUCAGUUGGCUUUUAAUUGGAGUCUGGCAUGAAUGAAAAUAUGGGUAGUAACUGUCUUAGCAUAUUAUUUGAACUUAUUAAACAAGUGCAAAUGCUUGUAAUUACACAAUAGACGAGAAGACCCUAGAAACUUGAAUUGAUUUUUGUUGGGGCGACAGAAUUACAUUUAACUAAUUUUUAUUACAUGACGCAAGGUUGAAAGAAUAAGUUACUCUAGGGAUAACAGCAUAAUUUUAGUAGUUUGUGACCUCGAUGUUGGACUAGGUAUUAUACCCUUAAGACAAGGGUAUACCAUGCUCUGUUCGAGCAAGAUUACCUACAU